CCACAACUGCUAGCAUUAGCUUUGGAUGAAAAUGUCCAUCUAAUCUUUUAAAAUCAAAAUACAAUCUUACAAGUUGCAUUGUAAUUGCAUCGAGUCCUUGAACUUUUGACAUUAUUUAUGUUUUUAUUUGUAAAAAGUAGAAAAAUCAGAGAAGCAGCUCUGUGUUGAUCCGCCACCUAAAAUCCCUAUAAAUCAAUAUAAGCUUAUAGCUGUGAUGCACAGGGUCUCCAUGCAUCCUUAAAAAGUCUUAAAUUCAUGUAACAAAAAUGAAGGUCUUGAAAUGUCUUACAUUUUUUAAUGAAUUUUAGUCUUAAAUAUGUUAAUCACAGAUCUUCAGUUCUGUCUUGGCAGGACUACUGAAUCAUUUAAUCCUGUAUAUUCCAGGAUUUUCUACCAGAAAGUUUGCGUUUGCAUUCAGACAUCUUGGUCGCGUUCUGUGUCUCAAGAUGGUUGAGGCUACCAGUAGCUAGCUGCUGAAAGUAAUGAAGACACAGAGAGGAGCCUCAGGCUGCUGGGAAACUUUCCUUUAUGGCUUUUAAUGGAGGAAUGUAGAGGUUUCAACCUACAUCUGGAAUCUGUUAAAAUCACUUCUGCCUUACAAAUCUAUAAGGAGUUGUAAAGUUGAUUUUGUGUGUGUGUGUGGACAUUUUACAAACCUCAAUGAACUUUGUGACUUUUGUGAAUCUGAAGGAUAAAAGAUCUGAAACUGAGGCAAUCUAGCAUGAAGAAAAUUAGAAAAUGGCGAGUGUAAUAAAGUUUAUCUCCAUGUUGACGACUUUUGUCAAUAUCGAUAAAUGGCUGUAUGCGAAUGUAUUGUAAUCAAACUGGCAAGCGCAACUUAUUGCCCCAUGUGCUGGGCAGCAUAAUCAUACUUUCCUGUGCAAAUGUAAAUAAAAGUGAGCAGAAAUUGAA